AGUUGUAGGUGUCGAGCACACUAAAAAUGACUUGAAGAUCCUGAGGAAUCAACAGGGUUGCUGCUUUGUCAAGCCUUGAGUUAUGAAAGUAAAGAUGUAAAGAAGAUGAAUGUACUGCCAGUUUCUGGAGUGGUGUGGAAGCUGUUAACAGAAUUAACUUCAGGGGGAAGAGUUGCUUUCCACCAUUCAGUUUUUGGAAACGAAUUGCUCAUUGUUGCAAACUCCACUGAAACUACCUACACUGAGAUCAGCGCAAUCCUGACACAGAUAAUUUUGUAUUUGAGCUGACUGGUUUGCUAACACGAGUGCUGUAUUGCUUUCCAAGCCUGCUGUCAUGUACCACACAAGGGUUUGGGAGUUUUUUACCAUAAAUAGAUAACUGGUUGGCCAAUAAAAGCACGUUGAGAAGAGAGAUUUUUCUUCUUGCCUGUCCCCAAGUGGGUUUUGUGAGCCAGUUGGGAAGGAUCUGCAGAUAUUUAGAGAGUUUGGGCCCCAAAUGCUUGAAUAUUAGUUAUCAGUCUGUGUAAAUAUCUACAGUUGUGUGGGAAAAAAAGUGUGGUGGAUCUUUCCCUAGUCUGGUGUCUGUGAUGGGGCAUCAUUUGUAAUGUUCAUUCUACAGAGAAGUAGUUCUACUUAUUUCCUGGAAGUGCUCUGGUAAGGUGAAGUGAUUUUCCUGGUGACAGUAGACCUGUGGUGGGAAGAGACCUCCCAAGGGAACACUCAGAGAAAGACAGCUCAAUCUAUCUGGCUUUACUCUCGCUGUCUUUCACUGAGCUGAGAAAUUGGCAUCUGUAUUUUUCACUUUCAGUGCCAGCAUUGGCUGCCAGGAGCUGCUGCCUUGCUGGGUAGGCCUUUCUGAUGAGUGGAAAACUGAAGGAGCACAGAAGAGUUGUUGAUUACUGCAGAUAGACAAAUCAGCUUCUGGAGGACCACCCAUGGUCUAAGCAGCUAGUAAAGUUAAGCUUGGACAGGGAGUGUUUUACUGUGUCUUUGACCCUACCUGGGCACAUGAACAAACUUCUGGCUUUUUUGGACACAGGAACACAUAUGUCUGAUCCAUCUCCUGAGAGCUCUGGGGAAUCUUUCCCCUGACUAUUGAGCAGAAAAUCUGUUUCACAUGUUAUUUUCCUUAUCCCAGUAUCUGCUAGAUCAUAGAUAUAUUCAUAGUCUUUUCAGCACUGUAUGGAGCUUUCAGAUCUCCAGAGAGAGGCCAAGAGAAGGGACUUGAUGUGAAUGCUGCAAUGUGCUGUGGCAUUCUGACAUUCUCAUAAAAUGGCUUUUGAUAAAAGUCUGGGCUGAUGAAGGUCACAACCUGCGUAAUAGUUCUGCCAGCAAACUCAUGUACCGGUUCUAUUAAACCUCUCCAUCAGCUAUGUUUCAAAUA